rnacentral:rRNA from 1 species
AGAGUUUUGAUCCUGGCUCAGGAUGAACGCUAGCGGCAGGCUUAAUACAUGCAAGUCGAGGGGCAGCGGGAGUAGCAAUACUUGCCGGCGACCGGCGCACGGGUGCGUAACACGUAUACAAUCUACCCUUUACAGGGGGAUAGCCCUCCGAAAGAGGAUUAAUACCCAUAAUAAAUUGAAUGGCAUCAUUUGAUUUUGAAAGAUUUAUCGGUAAAGGAUGAGUAUGCGUCUGAUUAGCUAGUUGGAGAGGUAACGGCUCCCCAAGGCGACGAUCAGUAGGGGAUCUGAGAGGACUACCCCCCACACUGGUACUGAGACACGGACCAGACUCCUACGGGAGGCAGCAGUAAGGAAUAUUGGUCAAUGGAGGCAACUCUGAACCAGCCAUGCCGCGUGCAGGAAGACGGCCCUAUGGGUUGUAAACUGCUUUUGUACGGGAGAAAAUCCUUUCACGUGUGGGAGGUUGAUAGUACCGUAAGAAUAAGCAUCGGCUAACUUCGUG